GAUGAACGCUGGCGGCGUGCCUAAUACAUGCAAGUCGAGCGAACAGACGAGGAGCUUGCUCCUCUGACGUUAGCGGCGGACGGGUGAGUAACACGUGGAUAACCUACCUAUAAGACUGGGAAAACUUCGGAAAACCGGCGCUAAUCCCGGAUAAUAUAUUGAACCGCAUGGUUCAAUAGUGAAAGUCGGUUUUGCUGUAAGUAAUAGAUGGUUCCGCGCCUGAUUGUCUGGUUGGGAAGGUAACGGCUUUCCAAGGCGACGAUGCGUAGCCGACCUGAUAGGGUGAUCGGCCACACUGGAACUGAGACACGGUCCAUACUCCUACGGGAGGCAGCAGUAGGGAAUCUUCCGCAAUGGGCGAAAGCCUGACGGAGCAACGCCGCGUGAGUGAUGAAGGUCUUCGGAUCGUAAAACUCUGUUAUUAGGGAAGAACAAAUGUGUAAGUAACUAUGCACGUCUUGACGGUACCUAAUCAGAAAGCCACGGCUAACUACGUG
rnacentral:rRNA from 1 species